GUCGGAAUAGCUCAGUUGGGAGAGCGUUAGAGUGACGUUGUUUACGCAACAAUCAUCUAAAGGCCCCCGGUUCAAUCCUGGGAUCCGGCA
rnacentral:tRNA from 1 species